GAUGAACGCUAGCGGCAGGCCUAAUACAUGCAAGUCGAGGGGUAGUGGUUGCUUGCAGCCAUGAGACCGGCGCACGGGUGCGUGACGCGUAUGCAACCUACCUUCAUCUGGGGGAUAGCCCGGAGAAAUCCGGAUUAAUACCGCAUAAAAUCACAGUACGGCAUCGUACAAUGAUCAAACAUUUAUGGGAUGGAGAUGGGCAUGCGUGUCAUUAGUUAGUUGGCGGGGUAACGGCCCACCAAGGCCGCGAUGACUAGGGAAUCUGAGAGGAUGACCCCCCACACUGGUAGUGAGACACGGACCAGACUCCUACGGGAGGCAGCAGUAAGGAAUAUUGGUCAAUGGGCGCAAGCCUGAACCAGCCAUGCCGCGUGCAGGAAGACGGCCCUCUGGGUUGUAAACUGCUUUUAUUCGGGAAUAAACCUGCUUACGUGUAAGUAGCUGAAUGUACCGAAGGAAUAAGGAUCGGCUAACUCCGUGCCAGCAGCAGCCGCCGUAA
rnacentral:rRNA from 1 species